rnacentral:rRNA from 1 species
UACAGAGGGUGCGAGCGUUAAUCGGAGUUACUGGGCGUAAAGGGCGCGUAGGCGGUUAUAUAAGUGAGAUGUGAAAUCCCCGGGCUCAACCUGGGAAUGGCAUUUGGGACUGCAAGGCUGGAGUGCGGCAGAGGAGACUGGAAUUCCUGGUGUAGCAGUGAAAUGCGUAGAUAUCAGGAGGAAUACCGAUGGCGAAGGCAGGUCUCUGGGCUGACACUGACGCUCAUGCACGAAAGCGUGGGGAGCAAACAGG